UACAGAGGUCUCAAGCGUUGUUCGGAUUCAUUGGGGCGUAAAGGGUGCGUAGGCGGCGCGGUAAGUCGGGUGUGAAAUCUCGGGGCUUAACUCCGAAACUGCAUUCGAUACUGCCGUGCUUGAGGACUGGAGAGGAGACUGGAAUUUACGGUGUAGCGGUGAAAUGCGUAGAUAUCGAAGAGGAACACCUGCGGCGAAGGCGGGUUGCUGGGCUGAUGACUGACGCUGAGGCGCGAAAGCUAGGGGAGCGAACGGG
rnacentral:rRNA from 1 species